GGGCGCGUUUAUGAUUUUUAUUAUGUUAUUUGAUAUGAAAAAUUGACAAAAAAUAAUAUUUUAUUUGUAAAAGUAAAUCCUGAGCCUGUAAUACCUGCUCUUCUUGUUCCAUUUGAAUUAAUAGAAACAACGCUGUCGCCUUUCUUGUUCUCAUAGAAUCAUAUGAUAUGAGGUCCAUGUUUUGUGAACGUCUUUCUUAACUGUCGUAUUAGACUGACCAGUGCAUAUCGCGCAUGGCACUUUAAAUGUAUUUAAGCGCGAAAAUU
rnacentral:lncRNA from 1 species